UUCAUUUCAGCCAAGGUUGGUUGAAAAUACAGCAUGUUUUAGUGUUCUACAUUAAUGCCAAGUUAUGGGGAGAAACCUUGUGACUUUUCUUAUUUUGGGUAACCUGACUUUUUUUUUUCAUCCUAUGUAUGAAAUAUAAAGUUCUACAUAAUGUGGUUUCUUUGACGAUCCAUCUGUCUAAUAA